rnacentral:rRNA from 1 species
GUCUACAGCCAUGCCACCCUGAAUGUGCCCGAUCUGGUCUGAUCUCGGAAGCUAAGCAGUGUCGGGCCUGGUUAGUACUUGGAUGGGAGAUCACCUAGGAAUACCAGGAGCUGUAGGUG